UAUGUGAUCGUCUCUCGCAUAUCAAUAAGCGGAGGAAAAGAAACUAACAAGGAUUCCCCUAGUAACGGCGAGUGGAGCGGGAAGAGCUCAAAUUUGAAAUCUUAAAGGGUUUCCCUUUACGAAUUGUAGUUUAAAGAAGUGUUUUCUGUUGAGGUUUUGGUAAAAGUUCUUUGGAAUAGGACAUCAUAGAGGGUGAGAAUCCCGUAUUUGACCUUUACUUUCAACUUUGUGAUACACUUUCAAAGAGUCGGAUUGUUUGGGAAUGCAGUCCAAAAUGGGUGGUAAAUUUCAUCUAAAGCUAAAUAUUGGCGAGAGACCGAUAGCGAACAAGUACCGUGAGGGAAAGAUGAAAAGAACUUUGAAAAGAGAGUUAAACAGUACGUGAAAUUGUCAAAAGGGAAGCGUUUGGACACCAGUGUUGUUUUUCUGAAAAUCAAUUAAAGAACUGUUUAUGCUAAGUUGUUUAGACUUUAUCAGCUAAUUGUUUAGUUUUGAGCUUUUCUUUAAUGCACUUUUCAGUUAACAAGUCAACAUCAAUUUCUUUUGCUGUAAAAAAGCUUGAGGAAGGUGGCUUGAGAUUCGUCUUAAGUGUUUAUAGCCUCUUGCCUAUGCAGUCGGAGAGAUUGAGGUCUGCAGCGUAGAUCCUUCGGGGCUAAAUGCAUUUGUGCUAAGUUAUAGCAUUUUAUAGACAACUUGUUGACUAUGAUUUGUCUUGUAGCUUACUCGCUUAUGUUAUUUUACCUACGCUUAGGAUGUUGAUCUACAGAGCGAGAGU
rnacentral:rRNA from 1 species